rnacentral:rRNA from 1 species
CGCCUCUUGCUAACAAAGGAAGUACUAGAGGUCCCGCCUGCCCUGUGACCACAAAGUUUAACGGCCGCGGUAUCCUGACCGUGCGAAGGUAGCGUAAUCAUUUGUCUUUUAAAUAGAGACCUGUAUGAAUGGCAUAACGAGGGUUUAACUGUCUCCUUCCCCUAGUCAAUGAAAUUGAUCUGCCCGUGCAGAAGCGGACAUAAACACAUAAGACGAGAAGACCCUAUGGAGCUUUAGACAAAAGAUCAAACAUGUAAAGAAACCAAACCAACCAAAAGGAACACGAAGGCCACAAAACCCAACGUAAACUGAUCUAAAUGUCUUCGGUUGGGGCGACCAUGGGGGAAAGAAAAGCCCCCACGAGGAACAGGGACU